UACGUAGGGGGCUAGCGUUGUCCGGAAUCAUUGGGCGUAAAGGGUGCGUAGGCGGCGCGGUAAGUCGGGUGUGAAAUCUCGGAGCUUAACUCCGAAACUGCAUUCCAUACUGCGGUGCUUGAGGACUGGAGAGGAGACUGGAAUUUACGGUGUAGCGGUGAAAUGCGUAGAUAUCGUAAGGAAGACCAGUGGCGAAGGCGGGUCUCUGGACAGUUCCUGACGCUGAGGCACGAAGGUCAGGGGAGCAAACGGG
rnacentral:rRNA from 1 species